GAAUGCUUGAAUGCUUGAAUUCACAAACAGGAAAUUUAGAAAUCGUUUUCAUAAAUUGCCCAAAAUCAAGCGAGAUGUCACUAUUCAGACAACUAAUAAAAUAGCAGCAAGAAAUUUAUUCAUUCCUGCUUGACCUCUUCAUCAACAGCGAGAAAAUUAUGAAAAGUGGCAGGAAACCCUUGAAUCGCUGUGAACUGAGAUCACAAAGUUGAGAAGAAUGACACAAAACACCUCAGCAAUUUCAUUUUUGGUGAUGCUUUUCUUGAAACACUUUCUUCUCAUUUUGUAAGUUUGUAAUACAAAAUGAAAUGACGAUGACACAAUGACAAUCAAUCAUGUGACAAAAAUGUCUCAAUUUUAAUUAUAUGUAAACUGUUUUAAGAGUCCCACUAAUCUGGGAGCAGAACAAAGCUUUUGGUCGGUCCCCUGCUCAAAGACUUUUCUAACAGUUGAACUAGACAUAAAAACAUGUUACUAAACUCACAUUAUUUAUUUAAUAAAAAUUAUAAAAUAAUAAGUAAAAAAACAAUUAAGUUGGCCGAACAAUAGUCGUAUAUUUGUAGCAAAAGAAUUCAGCCAAAGUUCUCAUUUGGCAAUAAAAAUGAUCUGCUACAGUUGACGUCGAGUUAUCCUAGAUCUAAUAUUUAUUUGUAUUCUGAUUUUUAGGAGAGGUCGACUGUUUUGCAUUUGCAUUGGUCAGUGGAUGAUUUUGACAAAAUAUUUUCAUACUUUUCCUAAUUUACAUUGUAGCUAAACGUCACCAAACAUGUCAAAUAUUCCGUCGUUUUUGCAUUCAAAAGAGAACAGUUGCACCUCUUCCGUUUCACAAUAAUUUGUUAAAUAAUAGAUUUUUAGAAUGUCGUUGUA